rnacentral:rRNA from 1 species
AUUGAACGCUGGCGGGAUGCCUAACACAUGCAAGUCGAACGAGUGGCGGACGGGUGAGUAAUGUCUGGGAACCUGCCCGAUGGAGGGGGAUAACUACUGGAAACGGUAGCUAAUACCGCAUACCAUCGGAUGUGCCCAGAUGGGAUUAGCUUGUUGGUGGGGUAACGGCUCACCAAGGCGACGAUCCCUAGCUGGUUUGAGAGGAUGACCAGCCACACUGGGACUGAGACACGGUCCAGACUCCUACGGGAGGCAGCAGUGGGGAAUUUUGGACAAUGGGGGAAAGCCUGAUCCAGCCAUGCCGCGUGUGUGAAGAAGGUCUUCGGGUUGUAAAGCACUUUAGGUUGGGAGGCGGUACCAGCAGAAUAAGCACCGGCUAACUUCGUGCCAGCAGCCGCGGUAAUAC